UGAGGAAUUACCCCGGCGGUGCUCAGAGAACCAUAUGGGAUGCUGGGAAUCGAACCCAGGUCGGCCGCAUGCAAGGCAAACACCCUACCCGCUGUACUAUUGCUCCAGCCCCGUUACUGUUUUUGGCAUAUCGAAUACGCCACAGGCUCAUGGCUCUAGCCGAGCGAAGAGAAAACUUGCCGAUUCAGAAGUCGUGAUGUUGCACACUCCUCUGUUUCCAAAGCUGGAUUAGUGAGAGCUUGCCUGAUCAGCGCCAUUUAACGCCUGGAGUUUUGACAGGCUGGCACGGCCCUCCGAAGCCUGGCAGUUUGUGCGAGAUGCCCUGUGUGCCGGCGUGACCCUCUGGCAAGUACCCCCACCCAAACAAGGAAAACAACAGGAGCCUGAACAGGAAGGGGAAGCCAUCGGCUCCCGACUGAAUCAGCAGCUGGGCUUGAGGACCUGCCUGGAGCACCAGCGGCCAAGGCCCCAGAGUCUGGAAGGGCCCCCAACUGGCCCUUUCGAGAGAACUCUUGACUUUCAGGUCUCAAGUCUGCAAAACGGUGACAGAGACUGUGGGCUCUCAUGUGGAUCUCAGGACAGAAAUAACUGAGUUAGAGGGCUCAGUCUUCCUGGGAAAGCCAAAGUCCAGAGUUUACCUCCUGGAGAGACCCACGGCCCUGUACACUGGGGGUGGGGAGCCCCGAGGAGGCAGAGGAGGUGUCUCUGGGGUAUGAGUAAAGCCUGGUGACUGUGUCUGUGGACGGUCAGACCGUGAGGACUGUUCCUCCUCAGGACCCUAAAUCCUGGCUCCUGCACCCAGGGUAGACAGCACCUGGGGCAGAGUUUGACACACGCAUGCACACGUACCCAGGUGUGUACACAUGCACAUACACACACACAUACACACACAUGCACAUACACACACACACAUACACACACAUACACACACACACACACACACACACACACACACACACACACACGGGAGGGAGGAUCCUGGCCAUCCAGCGGCCCCUAAGUGCCAGCAGGAAAGAACUGUUUGUACAUCCCUGCCCCACUCUGUGACCCCAUACAGGAGAAAUAUUUGGGGUGGGGCCAUCUUCCUAUUGGGGGUGUGGGCAGUGAGAGAACAAGGCCGAGCCGGGCUGCUGCUCCUGGUCAGAUCACCCCGAGCAGGGCUGAUCCCGGGGCCGGGGGGCUGCUGGGGCCUCUGCCAGGCUGGCCCCAUGAUUCCUGUGGAUGCUGAGACCCCCGGCCCCAGUUUAGAGGCUGAGAGCAACUCCGGGGCCCUAGGGGGAGAAUCUCACCAGCCUCUCCCAGCGUCCGUGGCUCCUGGCCUUCCUUGGCACGUGGCCCGUCCCACCAUCCCUGCCUCCGUUUCCAUAUGCCUCCUGCCUGUGUGCACCCAGGACCCUCCUUUCUCAGAGGGGCUCUACUUAGGGCCCACCCUAAGUGCAGGAUGGAUGCGAUCCUUGAUUGGCUCUGCAAAGACCCUGUUUCCAGGGAUGUUUCUGCUCACGGUAGCAAGACUUGGACACAUCUUUUGGGCCGUGUGUUUUAACUCAUGACGGGAGCACAGGCUUUAGGGUUCUGGGGAGGAAGACAAUAUUCGGCCUAUGACCACCUCCCCUGAACGCGGAUGGCCGCUGGCCUGUCCACAGACACCUGACCAAGCCCGUGUGGCUCGGGGCGGCAGACUGGGAGCUGAAUCUCUGCUGGAAAGAAGAGGAAGGGGUUUGCAAAAGUUAGGAGCAUUGAUGCCGUGUAUGGAGGCCUUUCCAAAUCACAGAUGUUCCUCUCGGUGAUUUCAUUUAAUCUUUUGCUAAAUUUGACUUGUAGUUUGUUUGGAGGCCACAGCUGGCCCUGCUCCGGGGCUCCUCCCAGCUCUGUGCAUCUUGGAGAGGCUUGGGGGGAUCACGUGGUGCUGGGGAUCAAGCCCAGGCCUCCUGCAGGCAAAGCUCUCUGAACUAGCUCCCCGGCCCAGUAAUCCUGAUUUUCUGAAAAAUAGAUGACAUUUCUGAGCCUCAGAGAGCUUUGAACUCUUUUUGUCCCGGAUCUUCAAGCUACUAAGAAAAAGAAGCAAAAUGAAAGCUCAGCAUGGUAUGGGGACAAGGGAUUUUUCGUGGCGUCAUGCUCUCUCUCCUGGUGAUUUUCAGAGUCCUAAAUGACAGAAAGAGGGUGGGGGAGAGUGCGGGGAAUGGAUUUCAAGGUCUUAACAUUGCACCAAGACCAGAAUCUGGGUUCUGACAAUCCCACAAUUUGGGUGAAGGGCGGAAAGGAAGAGUGAAGGGGUUCUGGUAAGCAGAGGGUUAAGGAAUAAAUCAUUAGGAGGUGUGUGCAGAAAGUUCGCUGACCUCACUGAGGGGAGGCUGAGACAGGGGCUGAUGGGACCACUGCAUUGAGACGUUGCACGAGAGGUUGGCUUCAACUCCCAACAAGGAGAAGUGGGGGUGCAAAGGUUGGGGUGAAGGGGGCAGGCAGUGAGGGGAUGGAAAAUAUGAC